ensembl:lncRNA
CAGCAGUUAAGUCCCCACAUUCUGCUUCGGCAGCCCGGGGUUCGCUGGUUCAGAUCCCAGGUCAAGCCAUGCUGUGGCAGACGUCCCACAUAUAAAGUAGAGGAAGAUGGGCAUGAAUGUUAGCUUAGGGUCAGGCUUCCUCAGCAAAAAGGAGGAUUGGCAGCAGAUGUUAGCUCAAGGCUAAUCUUCCUCAAAAAACAAAAAAAAGAGGAAUUGGAACCGAUUGAUGGAGAUAAGGAGGGAGCAACAUUUCUCUGAGCAUCCUUUUUUGUAUAGCUUUGGCUUUUAGAACUAUAGUAAUACUUCCAACAGCCUCCAAAAUAAAAAUUGAAAAUCAACAAGGGUGUGUGUGUAAGGGAUGGGGCACCCAAAUUGGAAACAAGAAAUAACAAUUGAACCUAACUGUUGCAAAUGAGUACAUAACCACACUCAAAGGAAACGGAAAGAAAAGAACUAACCUAAGUAACUGGAAGUCAGUACUUUUACUGGGUACUGUAAGGCUAAGGCAGAACUGUGCACAAAUAUACUAUUCUAAUUAGUAAAUCUGUCUCACAGGUAUGAGUUAGCAAUUGUUAUUAUUUUAUGUGUAUACUAGGGCUGAACAAGUGAAUAUGUGGUAGAUAAUGAGAGCCAGGUUUCUCACAGUGUGUGGCAGACACACCCUAAGGUGACCCCUGGUGAGUCACAGCUUCUGCAAUCCCUUCCCCUUCUGUGCAGGUUGAAUCUGUGACUGCUUCUAACCAACAGAAUGUGGCAAAGGUAAUGGGAUGUCACCCCUUGAUUAGGUUACAUUAUAUGGCAAAGGUGGAGACUUUGUAGAUAUAAUUAAAGUUCCUAGUCAGUUGACUUUAAGACCAAAAGAGAGAUUCUCCUGGAUGUGACCGACCAAUCAGGCAAGCCCUUUGAAAGAGAAUCUAGAGGUCACGGAUUUGAAGCAGCAGAGACUCUCCAUGGCUGGGUUUGAAAAAGCAAACCGCUAUGAAUUCUACAGUCACAGCCAGAUGGAUCUGCCAACAACUCCAGGGAGUGUGGAGGCAGACCUUUCCUCAGUCAAGCCUCCAGGUGAGAAUGCAGCAGAGAACCCAAAUCUGCUGUGCCAGACUUCUGACGUACAGGAACUGUGAGAAAAUAAAUGGGUGUCAUUUUAAGCUGCUAAUGUUGUGGCAACUUAUUUUGCAGCAUAGAAAAAGAAUUAUACUGUCAGACAAAGAACUUAAACUAAGGAAAUGGAGAAGACUAGAAUGAGCUUUAUGGUGUUAAAGUGGAAUGGGAGGUAUUGGGGUGAACCUAAUUUUUAAUAUAUGUACAGAUAGAUAUAGAAAUAAUUAUAGAUGUGUAUGUAUGCAUUAGUAUACACACACACACUUCCUUGAGAGGACCUAUGAGAGUAGCAAUGAUAACACCUUGCACCCAGAUCUUGGUUCCUAAACGAUGAGGAUCAAGGCUGCCCCAGGGAGAGAAGCCCAAGGCCUCCUGCCCUACAUAUUGAUCUGUAUCAUCCUCCGGGAAGCAUAGGACGUCCUGACCUGAUCCGACCUGAUUCUUAUCCAAAGUUAUAGGACCACAUGAUAACCAGACCCCACCUGCACUGAUAGCAUUUUAACGAUUUUUUUUCAUGAUCUUUCCUUUGUAUUGUAGAGAAAUAACUCACAUACCUAUGCCUUAUAAAUUUAGCCUUAACCCUCAACCCAUUGCAGCUCUUACUGACAUGGGUCCUGUCCCCAUGCUAUUCUCUGAAUAAAAGAGCACUACUACCAGACCUUGAGAGUCCGAGAAAUCUUUCUUUCGACUCCUCGGCCUGCCGAGUCUGUCGUUUCUUCUGGUGGCCCAUACAGGGAUCUUGCUUCACCGGCUUGUGAGCUGAAGUUCUGGUAAGUGCACUUUUCUUCCUUGUGCCUUCCUCUUUUUCAAGAAUGGAUCUAAAUUCAUUUCUUCGUCGGGAACCUUCUCGGACAGGUGUAUGAAUCCAGGUUUGCUGCCCAUGGCUACUCUAUGGGGCAAAUCAUGACAUUCAGCCUGAAGAGUAUCAGUACCUUAAGCCUGAGGGUGAUGGAGAAUGAAUUAAUCCAUUCCUUCCUAAUCCUAUCUCUAAUAUAUAAAUUCUACAUGGGCACAGGUCGACCACCUAAGUCGUUAGGACGGUUGUCAAUCUUCAAGACUCCUGUGGCAGGUUUCUUUUCCUAAGGCUGGAUUGGGGUCCCUCCCUAUGACUCCUGACCACACUCCAAAAUGCGGGAAGUCCCAAUUGGGACUCCGGUUCAAGGAAAGUACCAAAUUCUAACCUUUCGUUGAGUAUGGGAACCCCUUCUUGGGAGAAGGGCUCCAGGAUGCAAUUGGGUAGAAUGUCCCCCAGACCGGCAGAAAAUUCUUCACUGUUUUUCUCUAUUCUUUUCCCUCUGGGACCAUUCACCAGGCACCUAUUACUGCCAGGCAUAAUAGGGAAGGUAUACAAGAGAUACAAUGCAGGGGGACGCCCCCAUCACCUCUUGCUAUAGGAACCCCACAGGAGGAACAACAGGUAGGACGCUGCCCUAGGUUCAGGGGGGAUUUUUCAAGGUAAUAGACCCUUUUCUUUCAUCUCUCUUCUUUUGUCUUUUUGCUUCUUAGGACCAUGGGAGCUUCUAAUUCCAUUCCUAAGGACUCACCUUUGGGCUGCCUUUUAAAUAAUUGGGCAAAAUUUGAUCUACAAGAUCUAAAGAAAAAGAGACAUCUUUUACUGUAGUACUGUUUGGCCUCAAUAUACUCUGAAUGAGGAAAAAUGGCCCAUGAAUGGCAUCCUAAAUUUUAAUACUAUUUUUCAACUAGACUUAUUUUGCCACCACCUGGGAAAAUGGUCUGAAAUCCCUUACAGUCAAGCAUUUAUGGCCCUAUAUCAAGAUCCUGAACUCAGAGCAGUUUGUCGCAUGUGUCUAGCUUCCCCCACUAAAGUAGAAAAACCCAUAUCUGAUAUAUUAGAUGAUGACUGCCUUGUUAGACCUCUCCCUAAGGCCCCUGCAGCUCCUGCCGAAUUAACCUCUCCCAAGGACUCAAAGACCAGAAUACCCCCUCCCUCCAAGGAGGAACCUAAAAUUGAGUCCUCAAUCCCUGUAAGUCCUGCAGGUCAUACGAGGAGUGGGACCUCUGAUAAUCCUGGACAUCUCCUUCUCCGCGAGGUAGCAAAUGGGGACCUUUUGAGUCCAUGUGCCAUUUUUGAUGUCUGAAGUGGCUCAACUAAAGGCACAACUGGGUAGAUAUUCAGAAAGUCCUUCCCAAUUUAUUGACAGCUUUCAACAGCUUGUCAUGAUGUUUGAUUUGACCUAGCAGGAUAUAUAUAUUAUUCUUACUCGUUGCUGCACUACAGAUGAAGAAAAUCGUAUUUGGGCGGGAGCACGUGAAUUUGCAGAUGAUUUACGUACUAGAGACAGACAUAAAUAUCCAGUAGGAGGCACUAUGGUGCCAGAUACAGACCCCAAAUGGGAUUAUAGGGAUGAAAAAGAGGACAACGGAAUCACAUGGCUACUUGUUUAAUAAAGGAAAUGAAGAAGGGAUUUACAAAGCCAGUCAAUUUUGACAGACUCUGGGAAAUAACUCAGGGAACAGAUGAAAACUCUGCCCUUUUUCCAGAGAGAUUAGCUGAAACUACUCAAAAAUACACCAAUCUAGACUCUACUUCUCCGGAAGGGAUUACUAUUCUAAACAUGCACUUCAUUAGUCAAUCUGCCCCAGACAUACGCCGAAAAUUGACAAAAUUGACAAAAAGUCCUACCAGACUUUUGGAGGUUGCUACUCAGGUUUUUAAUGAUCGGGACAGGAUAAGGACAGAAGGGUAAAAUUACACGGUAAGGUACAGGCUCACAUUUUAGCAGCCGCCAUUGCGGAUAUGCCACCGAAACAGGCUAGCGAGGGUCUCAAGUCUCAAACUACAAAUGCCAGAGACCCAGGUAAGUUCCCUUGUUACCACUGCCGUCUAUUUGGACACUGGAGCAAACAGUGGCCAAGAAAGGAUCUUCCUCCUGGGCCUUGUCCUCUCUGCAAGCGAGAGGGACAUUGGAAGCGUGAUUGUCCUUGCCUCCAGAGCAAAGAGGGGCCAAGAACACACUUCCCUUCCUGGAGAUGCAAUCCUGAAGGCUCUGCCUGAAGGGGCCCAGAGGCCAGUCUGGCUCCCAUCAUCAUCGAACAGACUGAGCCCCUGGUUACUCUGGAUGUGGAAGUUUCGCCUCAUGGACCACUUCUCAUCAAAUGAUUCUCUCGUCUCCAGAGGAUCUGUAUACCUUGUCAGCCUUGGACUCUGCGGGUGGAACCUUCCAGUCCACUAAACUUCCUGCCUGUAUUCCUGUGGCCCCAUUUAGGGACAGCUCUAUGACCUUGUACAGCUGGAAGUAGUCACAGAAGAUUGACCAUCGUCCAUAUCCCCAAAAGAUUUUGGGGCCAAAUGAGUUCAGGGGGCAUUUUAUGAUGAGGAUCAAGGCUGCCCCAGAGAGAGAAGCCCAAGGCCUCCUGCCCUACAUAUUGAUCUGUAUCAUCCUCCGGGAAGCAUAGGACGUCCUGACCUGAUCAGAUCUGAUUCUUAUCCAAAGUUAUAGGGCCACCUGAUAACCAGACCCCACCUGCACUGAUAUCAUUUUAACAAUUUUUUUCAUGAUCUUUCCUUUGUAUUGCACUGAUAUCAUUUUAACAAUUUUUUUCAUGAUCUUUCCUUUGUAUUGUAAAGAAAUAACUCGCAUACCUAUGCCUUAUAAAUUUAGCCCUACCCUCAACCCAUUGCAGCUCUUCACUGCCCGUGGGUCCUGUCCCCAUGCUUGCAGCUAUUCCCUGCACAUGGGUCCUGUCCCCAUGCUAUUCUCUGAAUAAAAG